UACGUAGGGCGCAAGCGUUUGUCCGGAAUUAUUGGGCGUAAAGAGCUCGUAGGCGGUUUUGUCGCGUCUGUCGUGAAAGCCCCACGGCUUAACCGUGGGUCUGCGGUGGAUACGGGGCAGACUAGAGGCAGGUAGGGGGAGAAUGGAAUUCCCGGUGUAGCGGUGAAAAUGCGCAGAUAUCGGGAGGAACACCGGUGGCG
rnacentral:rRNA from 1 species